CUUUAUUAUAAUGUAUAGAGACAUUUUUCUUAUCUUGAUAAUAAUUCAAAUUUUUAACAGCUUACCAACAAUAUGGACUCAAUCUGAAAAUCCCACAAUUGCCACGAUGAGUAUAAGUCACAUUAUUGGUAUUCCCGAUAAAUUUUAUGCCCAGCCCCUGUAUGAAAAAAUUGGAAAUAAAUAUUAUUAUACAUCCAGAAAAUACGACGAAAUAACUUGGUAUGAGGCUUUGCAUAAGUGUCACACAUUGGGUGGACACUUGAUAAGUCUGACUGAAAAUGAUCCACUAAAUAAAAUUGGAGAAAAAAUGAAAAAUAUUAUACAUCCCAAUUUCUGGACAGAUCUCAGCGAUCUUGGCCAGGAAGGUGAAUUUGUCUCCAUGACAAGCGGAUUAAAACCAAAUUUUGUGGAUUGGUGUGAGGGUG